rnacentral:lncRNA from 1 species
AACACAAUUAUAGAUCUAGCUACCUCGUUUAAAUACUUAAUGACACAUUUCAAUAACUAUCAAUUCUAAAAUAAGCUACUGCAAAUUCAAACCAGUUCAAUUAUUUUCUGAUUUUUAGAGAGGUGAUUACACAGAAGUAACACAAUAACUAACUAAAACUAAUAAUUAACAAAAACUUGAAAUUGCAUAUUCAAUUUUCCGGAUUAAAAUUCUUAAAAACCUUACCACAGUCCAUGACCUAUUUUAAUUUUUAACAGACCAGUGUCGUAUACAAGCAUACUUUUCAAUAUCCAGACUAAUAGACAGUAAUUAAUUAACCACAUAGCAGUUUCAGCAAACAAUAACACUAUCUAAGUACACUUUAGGCAAAAUCGAAUAAAAACUGGUCCACGUAUUACAAUCAAACUGUACCAAAAUCAGUAAAUCAAUUGGAAAUUUCAUCACAAGACACUUUCAUUUCAUUCAUUUUUUGGCUGAUGGUCUACACAGCAGUGGGAUUCAAGACGUGUACCUGGAAAUAGAAAUACAAUGAAGGAGAAGAAGAAGUCAGCAGCAAUAACACAGUAUAUUACAGCAACAGGGAGACAAUUUGAAAUCCAAAAUAAUAACAUCAAUCCCAAGCACAGUAUAAGACGAAUAUCAGCAGAAUAACCAAACAAACUUCCACAUGAACCCAACAAAUGAACCCAGAGUAUCCUUGCAGUCUUCAACGGGCCAAAACUCCACCCAGAUUAACUAAAUUUGACCCACAAUUACUUGAAAUCAAACCAGUGAACACCUAACACUUCAAAAUCCAAGUAUUGAACUAGAAAAAUGGAAAUCAACAACUAAAAAUCAAAACUAUCCUGAAUUGUCUAGCAGAAUAGUAACUUUUUUUUGGAUUUUUGAAGGUUUUCUAUUGUUUUUGUUUUUUUUUUUUUUUUUGAACUUUGAAUUGUAGUUUUCAAAUCUAAAAAUACUGGAGAACACUGUUUUUUGGGGAGGAAUUUUUAUGGCUGAAGGAAGAAGACCUCUCUAAGGCAUGAGACAUGCCUUUUAUAGGCAAGAAUGAAGGCAGCCCCUGCCGAAUUUAUUUUUACCCUUUACCCCACUUUGUAAUUUUCAUUUUAGCUUAGAUAUCCCUAGAUUUCUGACUAUUUCCCCAAGUUGUGGUAACCAACGCCUGAAAAUUCCAAUCCAACCCAACCUAGAAGCUUCUCUUUCUGUUACACCUAAGAUUCUCUAAGUGAAUUUUCCUUUUUUUACCCCUGAUUAUCCUUAGCAAUUUUACUCUCUUAACCUUCCCCUCAAAAAUCUGAUCUUCUCUCACUCUCACAUGCCAUUUCAACCUUAUCCUCUACAACAGAAAAUAUACUCAUUCCCCAAUUACCAAAACGACCUUGAACAGCCCUAUUAUUUACCCUCAGCAAACCAACAGAUGGUCCAAGGCCUUUGGGCUUUCAAACAGAGACAGACUCAAAGAAAUCCCCAACUCUAUAAACCUUAAUCCAAAUAACAAUCAAACCAAUUGUAAAUCGAGCAAGACUUAACAAAGCCCAAAACGGUUAUUAACUAAUUCAACCAGAAAUAACUCAAGCAUAAAAAUCCGCCCUAAGUUUACAUCCUUAGCCAAAUAAACCCAACAACCCUAAACAAAUUAAUUUAAUCUAAAUGAAUAACAAGAAAAGGAUCGGAAUGAAACAACAAGAAUAAAAGCGACUAAAGCAGAUUUUAAAGAUAAGGGAGAGGGGUACCAUUUGAGCGGAACUGAAUCGACGACUUGAAGCGAACGUCGAGCGAGGCAAACAAUCCACGAAUUACGAACUAAUUGGCUGACAAAUUCGAAAGGUAUUCAACCCAAAGCUUAAAGGGCCCUUGGAAGCAAGAACGGACACUGAGAGCUCAGAUCUUUGAGUCAGAAUUGAGGAGAUGCGAACGGAUUCGAGGAGAGCUAUAAUUGAUACACCGACAUAGGGGAGCGAAAAGGUUUAAGGGGUGUUGAUUUGGGAGCGAUUGGAGCCUUCUCGUCUGCAGCAAUGGAGGAUUAGGGCUGUUUAUUAGGGAUGGAUAUGAAGGAGACGAGGAAGAUGAAGUACUAUGUUUGGUCGUGUGAAUUAACUGAGGCCUUAGGACAUUCUUAUGGUAAAUGGGGCAAAGUGUGCUGGCC